rnacentral:rRNA from 1 species
AUGAACGCUGGCGGCGUGCCUAAUACAUGCAAGUCGAGCGAACAGACGAGGAGCUUGCUCCUCUGACGUUAGCGGCGGACGGGUGAGUAACACGUGGAUAACCUACCUAUAAGACUGGGAUAACUUCGGGAAACCGGAGCUAAUACCGGAUAAUAUAUUGAACCGCAUGGUUCAAUAGUGAAAGACGGUUUUGCUGUCACUUAUAGAUGGAUCCGCGCCGCAUUAGCUAGUUGGUAAGGUAACGGCUUACCAAGGCGACGAUGCGUAGCCGACCUGAGAGGGUGAUCGGCCACACUGGAACUGAGACACGGUCCAGACUCCUACGGGAGGCAGCAGUAGGGAAUCUUCCGCAAUGGGCGAAAGCCUGACGGAGCAACGCCGCGUGAGUGAUGAAGGUCUUCGGAUCGUAAAACUCUUUUAUUAGGGAAGAACAAAUGUGUAAGUAACUAUGCACGUCUUGACGGUACCUAAUCAGAAAGCCACGGCUAACUACGUG